rnacentral:rRNA from 1 species
AGAGUUUGAUCCUGGCUCAGGACGAACGCUGGCGGCGUGCUUAACACAUGCAAGUCGAACGGAAAGGCCCUUCGGGGUACUCGAGUGGCGAACGGGUGAGUAACACGUGGGUGAUCUGCCCUGCACUCUGGGAUAAGCCUGGGAAACUGGGUCUAAUACCGGAUAGGACCGCAUGCUUCAUGGUGUGUGGUGCAAAGCUUUUGCGGUGUGGGAUGAGCCCGCGGCCUAUCAGCUUGUUGGUGGGGUAAUGGCCUACCAAGGCGACGACGGGUAGCCGGCCUGAGAGGGUGACCGGCCACACUGGGACUGAGAUACGGCCCAGACUCCUACGGGAGGCAGCAGUGGGGAAUAUUGCACAAUGGGCGCAAGCCUGAUGCAGCGACGCCGCGUGAGGGAUGACGGCCUUCGGGUUGUAAACCUCUUUCAGUAGGGACGAAGCGAAAGUGACGGUACCUACAGAGGAAGGACCGGCCAACUACGUGCCAGCAGCCGCGGUAAUACGUAGGGUCCGAGCGUUGUCCGGAAUUACUGGGCGUAAAGAGCUCGUAGGUGGUUUGUCGCGUUGUUCGUGAAAACUCACAGCUUAACUGUGGGCGUGCGGGCGAUACGGGCAGACUAGAGUACUGCAGGGGAGACUGGAAUUCCUGGUGUAGCGGUGGAAUGCGCAGAUAUCAGGAGGAACACCGGUGGCGAAGGCGGGUCUCUGGGCAGUAACUGACGCUGAGGAGCGAAAGCGUGGGUAGCGAACAGGAUUAGAUACCCUGGUAGUCCACGCCGUAAACGGUGGGUAAAAGGUGUGGG